UGGGGAAUAUUGCACAAUGGGCGCAAGCCUGAUGCAGCCAUGCCGCGUGUAUGAAGAAGGCCUUCGGGUUGUAAAGUACUUUCAGCGGGGAGGAAGGUGUUGAGGUUAAUAACCUCAGCAAUUGACGUUACCCGCAGAAGAAGCACCGGCUAACUCCGUGCCAGCAGCCGCGGUAAUACGGCGGGUGCAAGCGUUAAUAGGAAUUACUGGGCGUAAAGCGCACGCAGGCGGUCUGUCAAGUCGGAUGUGAAAUCCCCGGGCUCAACCUGGGAACUGCAUUCGAAACUGGCAGGCUAGAGUCUUGUAGAGGGGGGUAGAAUUCCAGGUGUAGCGGUGAAAUGCGUAGAGAUCUGGAGGAAUACCGGUGGCGAAGGCGGCCCCCUGGACAAAGACUGACGCUCAGGUGCGAAAGCGUGGGGAGCAAACA
rnacentral:rRNA from 1 species